rnacentral:rRNA from 1 species
AGUGAACGCUGGCGGUAGGCCUAACACAUGCAAGUCGAACGGCAGCACAGUAAGAGCUUGCUCUUACGGGUGGCGAGUGGCGGACGGGUGAGGAAUACAUCGGAAUCUACUUUUUCGUGGGGGAUAACGUAGGGAAACUUACGCUAAUACCGCAUACGACGUACGGGUGAAAGCAGGGGAUCUUCGGACCUUGCGUGAUUGAAUGAGCCGAUGUCGGAUUAGCUAGUUGGCGGGGUAAAGGCACACCAAGGCGACGAUCCGUAGCUGGUCUGAGAGGAUGAUCAGCCACACUGGAACUGAGACACGGUCCAGACUCCUACGGGAGGCAGCAGUAGGGAAUAUUGGGCAAUGGGCGCAAGCCUGAUCCAGCCAUGCCGCGUGAGUGAAGAAGGCCUUCGGGUCGUAAAGCCCUUUUGUUAGGAAAGAAAAGCAGCGUGUUAAUACCCCGCUGUUCUGACGGUACCCAAAGAAUAAGCACCGGCUAACUUCGUG